GAUGAACGCUGGCGGCAGGCUUAACACAUGCAAGUCGAACGCCCCGCAAGGGGAGUGGCAGACUGGUGAGUAACGCGUGGGAACAUACCCUUUUCUACGGAAUAGCUCUGGGAAACUGGAAUUAAUACCGUAUACGCCCUACGGGGGAAAGAUUUAUCGGGGAAGGAUUGGCCCGCGUUGGAUUAGCUAGUUGGUGGGGUAAAGGCCUACCAAGGCGACGAUCCAUAGCUGGUCUGAGAGGAUGAUCAGCCACAUUGGGACUGAGACACGGCCCAAACUCCUGCGGGAGGCAGCAGUGGGGAAUAUUGGAAAAUGGGCGCAAGCAUGAUCCAGCCAUGCCGCGUGAGUGAUGAAGGCCUUAGGGUUGUAAAGCUCUUUCACCGAUGAAGAUAAUGACGGUAGUCGGAGAAGAAGCCCCGGCUAACUUCGUG
rnacentral:rRNA from 1 species